GAUAAAAGUAAAAGCUAUGCUUUUACUAGAUAAAUAAUUGAGGAAUAAGAUAUACAAGAAUGUUGGAGAUACAUCUAGCACAUGUUUACACAUGUGAGAGUGACAACACACCUCUAUUCUACACCAUUAUCCUACACUAGUCAACAAGUUUGGAAGCUAGCUAUUUUGGUGAUGGAGCCAAAGGAUCUCUAGAGGAGCAUCUUCUUUCUCCCUCACUCUCUUUUUCGAUUAGGGAGCAGCCACAAGACUCCAAAGUUCCGCCAUGUACCUGCAAAUUAGUACAAAAAUGGGGUUAGAAGAUGACUCACAAAUAACAAGGAAGGGAGGCACAAGCUCAAAUAGGAAAGUGGAGUAGUAGACGAAAAUAGUGCAGCUAGGAGGCUUCCAUUUAGAGCAUGAAGUCAGCCUAUUUUUGUCACAUUCUCAACUACCAUCAAAGAAGAACCAAGACAAGAGAGCAUAGUAGAAUGAGCCUCUACACAAGCCCAAUAUAGACAUGAGCAAGAUUCUUGUUUUCCCAUCGAUCAAGGCUGAGGAAACAGCCAAGAGAGAGACAACCAUACAUACACCAAAAUAGUAAGGAUAGCAUGAACAUCAAGCUCAAAAGUAGUGGAGCUGGCAGCCCCAAAAUAGGAGUCUUUGCCUCCAAGUCUCAAGCACAAACAGCCAAGAGUAGAGCACUAUAUAAACACCCUCAUCUCUCUUCUCCUCCCCACAAAAUCGACACCCCAAACUCACAUAAAGUCAAGGAAUAUAGCAAGGAAGGGAGGAGGAGCAAGGAGGAAUUUUGAGGCUGGACAUCAGUCCCAUCCGAGAGGAUUCAUCAAAGUGAGGGAUAAAUUGCUCAAGGGCGAGUGAGGCCAAAGCAAGUAUUUGAGUUGAGACAUAAGCAUAUCAGGGGCUAGAUGCCUGCGAGUUUUGGCGAUGCCAGCCCGAGUUUAACGAAUUCGGUUCCCAAUAGGACCGCAAAUCCUGUUCGGAAUAACGUGCACGAGAGCCAUGAGCCAUCAACAGUUGGCCGGCGAUGUGUCCGCUGAAGGCGGCCACCUUCACGGUACACAAUUCACAGAUAUGGUAGAAAUUUUGAAAGAACUUAGUCUGAUCAGACGAACUUUUAGCUCACAAAAGAAUUUAGUAUGCUCGGGCCUUUUAAGAAAAACCCUCGUGCGAUACUGUGGAUGGAUGACAAAUAUAUAUUGUAUGUUUUGUUUUCGGCAUGUGUCCAC